rnacentral:rRNA from 1 species
AAGCGUUGUCCGGAAUCAUUGGGCGGAGAGCGCGUGUAGGCGGCCAGAUAAGUCCGCUGUGAAAUCUCGAGGCUCAACUUCGAGCUGUCGGUGGAAACUGUCUGGCUAGAGUCCGGAAGAGGAGAAUGGAAUUCCUGGUGUAGCGGUGAAAUGCGCAGAUAUCAGGAAGAACACCCGUGGCGAAGGCGGUUCUCUGGGACGGUACUGACGCUGAGACGCGAAAGCGUGGGGAGCGAACAGG